rnacentral:rRNA from 1 species
UACGAAGGGGGCUAGCGUUGCUCGGAAUCACUGGGCGUAAAGAGUGCGUAGGCGGGUCUUUAAGUCAGGGGUGAAAUCCUGGAGCUCAACUCCAGAACUGCCUUUAAUACUGAAGAUCUUGAGUCCGGGAGAGGUGAGUGGAACUGCGAGUGUAGAGGUGAAAUUCGUAGAUAUUCGCAAGAACACCAGUGGCGAAGGCGGCUCACUGGCCCGGUACUGACGCUGAGGCACGAAAGCGUGGGGGGCAAACAGG